rnacentral:rRNA from 1 species
AGGGCACCACCAGGAGUGGAGCCUGCGGCUUAAUUUGACUCAACACGGGGAAACUCACCCGGCCCGGACACCGUAAGGAUUGACAGAUUGAUAGCUUUUUCAUGAUUCGGUGGAUGGUGGUGCAUGGCCGUUCUUAGUUCGUGGAGCGAUUUGUCUGGUUUAUUCCGAUAACGAGCGAGACUCUGGCCUACUAAAUAGUUGGCGCAUUGCUACUGCGCGUACAUACUUCUUAGAGGGAUUUUCGGUGUUCAGCCGCACGAAAUUGAGCAAUAACAGGUCUGUGAUGCCCUUAGAUGUCCGGGGCUGCACGCGCGCUACACUGGCAAAAUCAGCGUGCUUGUCCUUCCCCGAAAGGGGUUGGUAAACCCGUGAAAAUUUGCCGUGAUUGGGAUCGGACAUUGCAAUUAUUGUCCGUGAACGAGGAAUUCCUUGUAGGGGCGAGUCAUCAACUCGCUCUGAAUACGUCCCUGCCCUUUGUACACACCGCCCGUCGCUGCCCGGGACUGAGCCAUUUCGAGA